ACAUUAGGUCACUGGGGGCAGUUCAGCCUUCCUGCAAUGCCUUAAAAAUGUUUCUUUAGCCUCUUUUCUCCCCAGCUUGAAGCUUCAAGAACAACGGUUCCCUCCUCCAUCAAUAUUCAGUGGACCAUUACUGUUGACAGGGAACGUGAAGAGACACAAGUGAAAGCACAGGUCCCCUGACCUCCCGCUGGUCAUGGAGCAGGAGGAACUAGGGGCCAGUGUAGAUGAUGACCAAUGACCUGCCCAGGCUCUUCAUCAGCCUCUGCCGAGCCACCCUUGGCUGGGGUUCCAAGGCUGAAGUCUCACUCUCUACAAGUGCCAAAGGGCACGCUGCCCCUCCGUCCACCUUCACACCUGCACCCCAGUUCAUCCUGCCUGAGCACUUAGAUGUUAUGGGCAUGUGAAACCUGGCUUGGGUUUCCUGCCGUCUGGGUUAUGGAGGAAGAAGGAGUAGGCGCAAAAGGCAGGGAAUUCACCCCGAUCAACGGUGGGCUAAGAACUGAAGAGAACUUCCUGGAUUUAGACAAGCUGCUCAUUCAUUCCUUCUCAGCCACGUCCAUGAAGCCCCAGCGAGCAUCCUCUUCCUCACUUUUCCUUGAUGGAGGUGUGUGUUGAACAAGCCAACAUCCGAUGACCUUAUGCUGGUAUCAUGUCUGGGGCUGUGAUCCUGACUGCACAGGACCUGUGAAGAACUGUAACUCACCUUAAUAGGAAUCUUCUGAAAACGUUGGAGGAAAGGAAUGUAAACUGGUCUUAUUGCCCUUGGUAACCAUAAUAGAAGUAUUUGACCCCAACAGGUAUUUCCCCCCCAGGUGUGGAAGGCUUUUUGUUUUCUCAUUUCACAGGUAGGACCAAAUAUAGCUGCAGCAGGGAGAGUUCCAGAUGUGGUUGUCUGUAUGUGUGUGGAGAGAAGUUGCUGGUGUCACUCGGGGAAGUCAGAAAAGAUUGUUUUCCUUUCCACAGUCAAACUUUCUUCUUAAGAGGUACUCAAAGGCUUCUCAUUGCAAAAAAAAAAAAAAAAAAAAAAAACUUCUUUCUGAAGCAACAAGUUUGUGAGCUUACAUGCUUCUUAGCUCAUGACAAGGAUCAGUAACACUGUGGGAGAUUGUGCAGUCCAAUAUGGGAACCACCAGCCACAUGAGAGUAUGUGCAUUUAGAAUCAGGGACCACAUAAUGAUGUUUGGUUAGUUAUGAUGAACUGCAUAUUUGAUGGUGGUCCCGUGAGAUUUUAUCACCUACUGAUGUCAUAGCUGUCUCAGUUUGUGUAAAUACACCGUAUGAUUUCACACAAUGAUGAAAUUGCCUAACUACGCAUUUCUCAUAGCAUAUCUCCAUCAUGAAGCAAUGCGUUACUUAUAAUUAAAAUGAAAUCAAAUUAAA